rnacentral:lncRNA from 1 species
CCUUCCUAAUUUUCCCCCAAAUUAUAGGGUUUCCACUAGCAGAGGCAGAGAUAUAUAAGAAAUUCUUCAUAUUGAAUGCUCUUGGAACAGAAAUUCAAAAGAAAGAAGAGAGAAUGUUGAGAACAAGGUUGCUAUGGUUCACAUUGGGCUUCGGAUCCUCAGCAGCUACAAUUACCCACUUCGUCUUCAAAGAUCUCUGGGUCGAUCGCCAAAUUCUCUCUACCCAUGUAUGAUUCUAAUGUUUCCUCUUUUCCUUCAAUUUUGCACAAUACAUUGUGGUUUAUACACGAUUAUGUAUAUAUAAUUUGUAUGAAAGUCGUGAUUUUUUAUUGUGUUUUUUUUUGUAGUUGAAGCAGCAGUUUGAGGCCCUAGACACUAGAGUCUCCGAUCUGGAACAGGUCCUUCCUAACAAUUCCAAUCCCAACCAGGUAAAUUAUAUAUAUAUAUAUAUAUAUAUAUAUAUAUAUAUAUAUAUUAAUAUCCUGUCUUUGAAUUAUGGUGGUUUGUGUAAGUUGUGAUCAAUUGAUGAUAAAUUUAUUUGUGGUUUUUUCUUUUUAUCAUAAUUUGAUCAUAUUUAGUUUUUUUAGGGUUUAAAUUUCUCUUGUACAAAAUUGUUGCGGACGUCUUGGUCUUAAAAAUUUUAGCUUUUAAUUGAUAAUUAUUGGAAAGUUUGUAUUUUGUUAUGGUCCUGCGUGGAUACAAUGGGUUUUGAGGUUGAGGAAAACACGCAUAUAGUUAACAAACGCGUAAACCGUUGAUUGCAAAAAUAAUUAGUGGGUCAUAUUUAAUUUAAUUUGAUGUAGACAAUUAUAUACCUUCCUUUCCUAAAUUGAGUUUAUUGAGAUGUUAUUUAGUAUCCUCUAUUAACAGCUUUUUGCAUCUUUCAAUGAAAGAAAUUCCAGGUACCUUUUUAGCUCACAGACUAUUUUGUCUAGGAAAACACCUCAAACUAAAUUGACUUCCUCCUUUGGUCUACCAUUACUGUUUUCGCUGCUUUGUCCACUUACUUUGCUUAUGAUUCAUCGACAGUUGGACUAUAUUUGUUUGCUGUAGUCUUGGGUCUACGAUGCCUUGAAGUUUCUGGAUUCCUGAGAACAAUCAUUAGCAGAACACUGCAAGUAUUUUCUGAAAGCAUGAAAAAAUAGACAUGUCAUAUCAAAGUUUUGCCAUUAUGUGCCUUGUAUGGAUUGCUGUUGUUUAACUAUUCUGACUAAACCCUCUGUCUGAAACUGAUGCUUCCCAUAAAAAUUCAAAGAAGUGGAGAACUCUAGAGUUUGAAAAUUGGCUUGCUUUCAAGGCAUCACAUUCCUGGAUACUUUAAUACUUUACUUUAGGUCACUAACUUCUUCUGUUUGUCUUUAUUUAGGUUGUUUUGUUGUUGCUCAGUUUUUUAUGUGUUUUCUUGUUAUGUAUUGGUCAGGAACAGUUAGGUGUGUGACAUAUUUGGGGUAUUUUAGCAGUUCUUAUUAUUGAGAUAGCUAUUUCAUUAUUAGUAAAUGUAAUGCUUUUAUCUAGAUAGCUAAAACGUUGUUAGCAUGUUUAUGUGAAAUAGCUCUUGUUUAACAGUUUGAACCAAGGCCUUAGACUGAAAGGAAGCCACAAAACGAUCUCAGUAUGCGCUGAUUUGGCUGAAUGGGCCACAUACAGCAGCAACAGCAUGCAUAUAUAAGUUGAGUUUACAUGGGGACAAACCCUGGAUAGAUUAAGCAUGUACAUAAUCCCCCCNNNNNNNNNNNNNNNNNNNNNNNNNNNNNNNNNNNNNNNNNNNNNNNNNNNNNNNNNNNNNNNNNNNNNNNNNNNNNNNNNNNNNNNNNNNNNNNNNNNNCCCCUCGUCUUAUAAAAGAAACAAAAUUUAAAGAAAAGAAGUGCUGAAUUGCUGAUUGUUGUAAUAUCACUUUCUCAUUGUUGUGAACUUCUUGAAGUACACAAGCUUGGGUUCAGAAUAACAUUUCUAUAAAGAACUCUCACUCGCAACAAACUUCUUGAUGCUUAUAUUAAAUGUAUGCCUGCUGUUGGUAUAGCUGGUUGGAUAAUGAAUGCUUAUAGGUGAAUAUCGUCACUCUUUGGGUUUUAGAAAUUUUUGCUCUUAUAUUUGCCUUUAAGCGUCUAUGAAUUGUGUUGUGUUUAACUUGACUAUAGUUAACUAUCUUCGAAUAUUCUUUCCCUUAUUAUUUCACGGAUCUUGUUAUUGUGCCCUUACAGCUGUAGUACUUUGUUGCAGGAGUAAGAAUGGAAUUUAACCUGAUGGCCAGCUUUCUUUUACUCUGCUCAACUCCCCAUCUUUUGCAGAUUCUCCUUUUUUGUAUUAUAAUCUUUUCUUGGCUCAUGAAUACAAAGUUGCUAAUCUGUAACAUAGGACGUUACUCGUCUUGAUGAAUAUGAAGUGAUUUAGUAAAUGAAUUGUGAUUCAUAAUUGACAACCAAUUGCCAUUCUUGAGGUCUAUGUACAGCAUUUAACAUCCUAACUUGGUCAUGAUGCCUCAAUUAUUAUUGAAAACUUCUUCAGUUCUUUGCAUGUUCCUUUUGAAAAUUACAAGAGUAUGCAUGUUAGACGGAAAACCAUUAGUUUACAGCAUCCAAUAACAAUGUGCACUCUAAUUCCUUAAUUUUCUCUUCAAUAUUUACAUGACAAAAUUACUAUUAGAUGCUGUAAACUAAUGGUUGAGUAACUUUAUUUUGUGUUUUAUAAAAUAUUUGCAAAACAAAUUAUCUGCAAUUGGUUGAACAAAGAUUAAAUAUUUCAUUUCUCUGAAAGCAAUUACAUGCCAUUGAGGGGUUCGUCCCCAUUUUGGCUUUGUAUAAGAUGCUUGUUCAAAAAGGAAAAACAAAUUGACAUCACUAAAACUAUCCUGUACAAUUUCUUUCCUCAACUCUAAAUCCCUAAUCCUAUUGCCCUCUAAUCUCCAUAUCCCUCUUUGUGAUCUUUUCAAAACUAAAUCUAUGUUUGGUGCAUGUUUGGUUACACAGCUUUCGGAGCGCCUAGAUAUCCGAACGUGCUUCAAAAUCUUGUUCAUCUAGAAACAUCUUAUUUAAAACGCAGCUUAUUUUACUCACAAACGCAGCAUUUGAGGAUCAAACGCAAUGUGCAGUGCAUUUGGAGGUCCAAAUGCCGCGAACGCUACCACCGCAAACGCUACUAACCAAACAAACCCUUAAUUUUAAUCACGAUUUGGAAA